rnacentral:rRNA from 1 species
UUCGGAUUUGGUUUUGAGUGAUACUCUUAGUCAGACUAAGCGUUUGCUUGAAAUGUAUUGGCAUGAGUGGUACUAGAUAGUGCUGAACUGUUUCAAUGUAUUAGGUUUAUCCAACUCGUUGACCAGUAUAGUAUUUGUUUAUUACACAGGCUCGGCCUUACAACAACAAACAAAGUUUGACCUCAAAUCAGGUAGGACUACCCGCUGAACUUAAGCAUAUCAAUAAGCGGAGGAAAAGAAACCAACAGGGAUUGCCUCAGUAACGGCGAGUGAAGCGGCAAAAGCUCAAAUUUGAAAUCUAGCACUUUCAGUGUUCGAGUUGUAAUUUGAAGAAGGUAACUUUGGUUUUGGCUCUUGUCUAUGUUCCUUGGAACAGGACGUCACAGAGGGUGAGAAUCCCGUGCGAUGAGAUGCCCAAUUCCAUGUAAAGUGCUUUCGAAGAGUCGAGUUGUUUGGGAAUGCAGCUCUAAGUGGGUGGUAAAUUCCAUCUAAAGCUAAAUAUUGGCGAGAGACCGAUAGCGAACAAGUACAGUGAUGGAAAGAUGAAAAGAACUUUGAAAAGAGAGUGAAAAAGUACGUGAAAUUGUUGAAAGGGAAGGGCUUGAGAUCAGACUUGGUAUUUUGCGUUCCCUUCCUUUUUGGUUGGGUUCCUCGCAGUUUACUGGGCCAGCAUCGGUUUGGAUGGUAGGAUAAUGACAUUGGAAUGUAGCUUUACUUCGGUGAAGUGUUAUAGACUUUGUUGAUACUGCCUAUCUAGACCGAGGACUGCGUCUUUGACUAGGAUGCUGGCGUAAUGAUCUUAAGCCGCCCGUCUUGAAACACGGACCAAGGAGUCUAACGUCUAUGCAAGUGUUUGGGUGUAAAACCCGUACGCGUAAUGAAAGUGAACGUAGGUGAGAGCCUUUUAGGUGCAUCAUCGACCGAUCCUGAUGUCUUCGGAUG